AAAUCUUUGUAAACUGCCACAGAAGGAAAGUGUAUUUAGAAGGGAAAUUGACAAGUUUUAAAGAGUAAUUGUACAAUCAUUUGAGGAGAGAGGAACACUGCAUUAGACUAACAAGGGUUUAAUUACCAAAAAAAGUUUAAUGUUGCUUUGGAAGGAAUAUUAAGUAAGUUGUCUUUGUCUCUUACUUUUUAAUUUUAGUCACUGAUUUAGCCUGUUGGGUCACAUUUUUUGUUAGUGCUGAAGGCUGCCAUGAAUCCCUAAUGAGGCCCCUUUGCACAUGAUUUUGGCACUUGGCCAAAAUCAACUUCCCAGCGGCAAGCUUUCUUUAAAGAACCUGGAGCAAUUUUUUUUUUUUUUAUUAGAAAUCAUGUCUGAAAACUGCCACAACCAGUUGUGUAGGCAUGUCAAAAUGACUUUAUACAGUAAAUAUGAAACAAGAAUUUUUUAAAAAAUGUUCCUGGUACUGUAGCUUUUGUUAUUAUGAAUUCCUGCUUGUGGUCACCUAAAGUACGUCAGAGCAAGAACAACCUUAAAGAAGAAGAUUUACUGAUUUUUUUGUUUUUCUCAGCAGAACAGAGUAGGGAUGGUUAUCUCAUUGAGAUAGAUACAGUACGAAAGGGUUAUUUAAAAACACUUCAGGAUAAAUAACAGAUGAAUUCUUAAAACUGUUAAUCUCUGGUAUCCUUGAAGAUUAAUUAGAAAAUGUCCAUGUGCCUAUAAAGCUAAUUCAAUGAAGAGUGGGCUGAACUUUGGGUCUAAACGAGACAAUAGCUGCCUUCGCAGUAUCAGCAGAAUGGUUGAUGGGAACGCACUCUACAUUUGGCAGAGAAUCAUGUGACCUUACGACUGAGAUUUUGUGAUGGUGCCAACGGAGACUUGGAUUGCAGCAACCGUCCUGACUUUUUUCUUCUUUUCUAGCCCGGCUCAGAAAAUGGUGGAUCUUAAUACUUGACUUUAGCCAGUCUCAGCAAGCGACUGAGCUUUGAAGCACAACUUCGCCUUUAUUCUGGGUUUUUGGCAGGCCACCAGGAGGCUGUCCCUUUCACGCCUGAUAAAUUCUGCUGCUUAUCUCUAAAUAGGAAAAGGAAAAAAAGGGGGGAAAAUAUAAACAGAAUAUUGAGGCAUAACAAGUGAAUCCUAAAAUUGUGUGUUGUGCAUUUCGGUUUUUUGCCUUUUCUUACUGCUGAUUUUUUUUUUUUUUUAAUGUUCGUAUCAUUUCUGCUUGCUGAAGAAUCCAAGGAGUUUUGUUUUUUGUUUUUUUGUUUUUCUUUGUGGGUUUUUUUUUUGUUUUGUUUUUUUUGGUUUAUAAUGAACAGGCAUUUGAACUGGGCAAACAGGACGACAGCAGCAGUGAUCAUGAGAUCAUUGCAGCAAUGUAGCAAACUGGCACCCUGCCUUCUCACCCUUUUGGUUCAGGAGACCAACGUGUGCAAUCCUCAUUUCUAAAGUCAGCACAGCCUGGAAGGAUUCCUGGUCUCUCCCACCUUCGACCACUACGCUGCCAGGGCCGGCAAGGAUUGGUGCAGCUUCUGCGCAGUGCUUUGUGCCUGGAAUACCGAGAAGGAAGAAAAAGAAGACGAGCACCCUGGUUCUUUUUGCAAGAAAGAACAGGAGCCCUGAAGAAAAAAAAUGCAAAAAAAGAAACCUGAGUGUGUCCCACUCCAUGCAACAGUGAUGAAAAAAAUGAGACUUUCCUGCUCAAAAACAAAAACAAACAAAAAUCCAAACCAAAACAAACUAAAAAAAAAAAAAAAAAAAAAGCAAACAUUGGCUUGUAUAACUACAGAGGCAUCGAGCUUUGUAAAGCAGCUUUGUAAGGCUUCAUGAGCAAAUGAGCCUUCUUUUCGUUUAUUAUUUCAAAAAUAAGGCCUAAUUAGCAAUGUAUUGCACUUGGUGAAAUCGCACCUUUCAUAUCAGGGACAAAAUUAAAAUGGAUAUGAGAAGUGAAGAAAGUGAUCAUAGGAGAAAAUCAUCUCAGAUCAACCACUGCAGAAGAACCAGAUUCCACUUCUGUGGCCAGGACUUUUAUGUUAUGGCUGGUCCGAUUGUUUUACCCUGCGUUCUCUGCUACUAAACCUUGGAUCAUUCCUAAAGUACAAAUUCUGUUCUCCAACCACAAACAAGGCUAAAAGAUCGGAGGAAAUUCAGUGAAUGUACAGGAUCGGGAUUGUGCAUUUUCCAAAGUGUUGAGCUUUCGAAUGCAACUAUUUAAGAUAGAGAAUCAUUUUUGUUCUUAGGCUGCCAGCCUUUUUAAGUUUCACGUUCAUUAAGUGGCAUUGCUCAAAUAGCUACAGAGUAUGCAUGGGAAUAUUUGGCUGUCUGAAUAGUUUGGAGAUUCAAAGAGAAAACUCGAGCUUCAGAGGUAUUAAAUUAUGACAUGCAAAAAAGUUUUUGUUUUAUUCUUAACUGCAACAGUAUAUAUUUAAAUCAGAUUGAAAGUAUUAUAUAUCCUGGAGCCAGCUUAACAGUUGUGCUAUAUAAAAGGCUAAUGGGAAGCCAAAUUUCAAUCAGGGUCCUAUUACUGGGAUAUAAUCCUUUUUGCAUGUAAUAGAACUAUGGUGUUGCUGUACAAAUCUGCUAGAAACAGAUUUUAACCCAUUUGUGGUCUUAUUCUUUGGAUCUAAUGGAAUGACUCUUAACUGUUCAUUGUUUGUAUUGUUUCUCAUAUUCUUCGUUAUUUUAAGGUCUGUAAAUGGUCAUUAUGAAUAUUCAGCUCAUCCUAACUUUUAUGUGUCAUAUAUCUAUUUCUACAUAUGUAUUACCAUUAGUAUUUAGAGGGAGAAGUUUAAAUGGACCCAACUGUAAUUUCUAAGCUAGCCUUAUCACCAAAGAAGAAGAAUUCUACCGCAGCAAACCAGACUUUUCCUAGUCCCUGAGACCCUAACUUGUGAGGUAUUUCAGUAACAUCACAAGUCAGGCUCUUGGGACCUAGGCGGAGGGGAACCAGCAGCUUUGGACCUUAUUGAUUGUCUGCAGUUACCACCAGAACAAAAGGACAUACAUAGAUUCUGCCCAGGAGAAAAGAACAAUGCUCUGAUUUAUAACCAGCAAUGUUUUCACCAGGACCCACCCCCAAAAAUACUAUUUUCAGAAACUGUCCUCUAAAGUGAUUACAGAGUGUCACUGAAUCGCAUUUGUUUUCUGUUAUAACAACCAUCCAAAAGCAAUAGAAGAUAUCUGUGCAAGAAGCAAAAUUAAAAUACAAGUGUUUCUAAAA